UUUUCUGAUAACAGCUGACGGCCGGUUUUCGGUCAAUCAAAGUUGACCCGGUCCCGUCCCGUCGCCCCUCCCAAUCACGCUGCCUUCCUUCUCUCUGUGACCCUCUCGCUCAUCUUUCCCCUCCCCAAUUACGCACGACAUCCAAGUGGAGCAACGCGUGCGGCCGGCGGAUACGGCGAUCGGCGACACGUGACUCGAGCAAGAGGGGUCCGCAGGGAGCCCGCCAGCUGUGGAGGGGCGGACUGCGCCGCUACGGAGGGCUGAGCCUGGCCGUUGGCCGGUGGUCCCUCGGUGCCGUUCUGCCGCUCGGCCACUUCCAUAGUUCAUACUGCGGUGCGGGCACCAGCCGCUACUUGCCGUCGAAGGGCGGAGGGGGAGAAUGCGACAGCCGCGGAGCCAGACAGCAUGAGGGCGGGGCGGUAGAUAUCGCCGUUCCCAACCCUAGUGCUCCAGCUCCCGCGCCGCACCCGCCGCGAUAGGGUCCUUCUCACCACCGCCGAGUCCCCGGGGUCGGAUUUCUGGACCCCGACCCCCCCCCCCCCCCCCCAAUUAGGGCGCCUCGGUCGGUGGCUUUGCCCUCGCCGAAGAAGCUCGCGAGCCAACCCGCGACGCCGGUGGUGUUGACUCCGGCCCCGCCGCCAGUGAAGGCCACGCCGCCGCCGGUGCAGAUGCCUCGGCCACAGUACGAGAAGGCGUCCUCGGGGGGCAAGCAUGACGGAUCAGCGUUCGGGUUCUUCUGGGACGCCGUCGCUCGGGUGCAGGAAGCCUGGACGAGUACGUGGCGAAAUGGUUUGGCUUGGAUCAAGCCAAGUACCAGUGGGCGCUCAACGACUACUACGAGGUCACCGGCAAGAGGGAAAAGAAGAACAAGUUGAGCUGGAGGUGUUCAACUUCACUGGUGCUGGAGGUCUCGCCCUGUCCAUGUACAACACUGAUGACAUGGUAGCGUACGCGAUUAACAUGGUCUUGAGCCCUGUGGCCUUUUUUCUCAUCAGUGUAUAUUUUUGUCUUGAGCCCUAUUCGGAUGAGCACUGCCUUAUUGAUGACAUGGUAGCGUACACACUUAAGAGUGAAGGAUGGUAUCUAUGGGCUUGCAACAAUUAUGAUGGAGACAUGGAAAGUGAUUUCUUAGCUCAAGGUUUUGGAUCAUUGGGUUUGGUGGAAAGUGAUUUCUUAGCGCAAGGUUUUGGAUCAUUGAGUUUGAUGAUAUCAGUAUUGGUAUGCCCUGAUGGAAAGACAAUCGAAGCUGAAGCUACCCAUGGUACUGUUACCAGUCCUUAUCGUGUUCACCAGAAAGGAGGUGAAAUCAUUAAUGUAAGAAUUGCCUCAAUCUUUGCGUGGACAAGAGGACUUGCAAACAUCUAUCAAAUUCAAUGGUUUACCUUUGUUAAUGCAAUGGCACUUGUCAAUGUGGUUUCGUCACUCACUUAGAAUAAGUGCCCGUAGAAGAGCGGGAGCUGCUGCUACUACUACUACCAGCAGUAAGAAAUGGAUGCUCGGGACAGUAAGGUAGCCUGGCGGUUUUCAUGGAUGCAGGCGGUGAGGCAGUCGGGAGCCUGUCGGCCGCAGGCAGUGGAGGAACCUCUUUGGAAAGCUUGGGGCUGGUGCGAUGAUGAUGUCAGUUUAGGUCAUCUCCAGCAGAUACUUUAAAAAUUCACCUUCUAUAAUAAUAUUAUAGUAUUUUUUUACAUUAUUACAAUACUCUUUAUUUUUUCUA